UACAGAGGGUGCAAGCGUUGUUCGGAAUUAUUGGGCGUAAAGCGCGUGUAGGCGGCUUUGCAAGUCGGGUGUGAAAGCCCUCAGCUCAACUGAGGAAGUGCGCCCGAAACUGCAGAGCUUGAGUACCGGAGAGGAUGGCGGAAUUCCCCAAGUAGAGGUGAAAUUCGUAGAUAUGGGGAGGAGCACCGGUGGCGAAGGCGGCCAUCUGGACGGAUACUGACGCUGAGACGCGAAAGCGUGGGGAGCAAACAGG
rnacentral:rRNA from 1 species